rnacentral:rRNA from 1 species
UACGGAGGGUGCGAGCGUUAAUCGGAAUUACUGGGCGUAAAGCGCGUGUAGGCGGUUUAGCAAGUCAGGUGUGAAAUCCCGGAGCUCAACUCCGGACGUGCACUUGAAACUGCUAGGCUUGAGUGUGGUAGAGGAUGGCGGAAUACCCAGUGUAGAGGUGAAAUUCGUAGAUAUUGGGUAGAACACCGGUGGCGAAGGCGGCCAUCUGGGCCACAACUGACGCUGAGACGCGAAAGCGUGGGGAUCAAACAGG